CACUUUCUAAAAUAAAUGGAAAGUUCUUGCAGUUUUUAAAAUCUAGACGCACCUCUAAGAAAAUAAAAAGAUCCUUAAAGUUGUGCAGAAGCUGCAGAAGGAUGAAAAUAUACCAGCUAUGGGGGCCCUUAACGGCCUUUGAGAAGUCUCUGCUGGGAAUCUGGGGAAACACAAUCCCAGAGGCGUUCUUCAAGGAAAGGAAUCGCAGCAUUCAGCCUCCUUCGUACUUCUCCAAAGAGUUCCACCCCCAGCAUCCGGCCCCGAAAAAGAACUUUGACCCGACUGUCAGAAGACCCCAGUCUGCCCGGCCCAAACAUCAAGAAGUCCCUCGGAACAUUCAUUCUCUCAACCUGGGCUGCUUUGUGAAAUGGGCCUCCGGCUACCCUGACCUCCACUGCAAUGAUAUCUGCGCUAUGCUGGGUGAAGACAAGUGCUUUUACAGCUAACCCUUCUAAAGCAGUUGGUCAUAAAUGUAUGUUACCUAUACAUAAUGUCUCAGGGGAUUUACAUCAUACCCAAUUCAGAAUAAUCAUUUAAUUCUCUUUUUUUAUUGUUUGUCAAAUGAAUCGGUUAUGAAAAUCAACUUGUGUCCAUUUUGCAUUUUACUGUUUACAUUAUGCAUUUAAAUAGCUUUGCUAUGGUUUUCCAUGUGCAUUUGGUGUGCUUUAAAACCACAAGGAAACAUUAUAACAUUUUUUUUUCACCCUGGUAACAUACUGUAGGUAAUGUGAUGGUUAGUAGUCCUGCUUCACAGCUGUUGGGUUUUGGAUUAAAGUCCAGAUCACACCUUAUAUCAUACCGUAUACAAGCAGUACUCAACCAAAACAAUAUGUAACUAUAACUCAAUGACCAACAAUUCAAAGAAUUUUACCUUUUCAGGAAAAUUUAUAAGCUUUGUGUGGUGGAUGAUGUAAAAAUAUCAUAAAUAAGAGAACUGUGGAUUAUCAAACGCCAAUAAACAUAUUUUAAUUCACUCCAAAA